rnacentral:rRNA from 1 species
UACAGAGGUGGCAAGCGUUGUUCGGAAUUACUGGGCGUAAAGGGCGCGUAGGCGGCCUCGCAAGUCCCGUGUGAAAUCCCUCGGCUCAACUGAGGAAUGGCACGGGAAACUGCGGGGCUUGAGUUCGGGAGAGGGAAGCGGAAUUCCGGGUGUAGCGGUGAAAUGCGUAGAUAUCCGGAGGAACACCAGUGGCGAAGGCGGCUCACUGGCCCGGUACUGACGCUGAGGUGCGAAAGCGUGGGGAGCAAACAGG